rnacentral:lncRNA from 1 species
GAAGUGAAUAUUCUCCAAGGUUUGGCGAUGAAUUGGUUUUAUUUAUGUAUGAGGGUGUUGGACUUGAUAUUAUUAUUAUUUUUCAUUUAGGAGCUAUGCUUGCUGAUAAUAGUUAAACCAUUGUCUAAUCAACUUGUAGUUUAAAUAGCUUGUUAAAGCCGGUUACUUUUUGAGAUUUUAUAUCUCACCCAUGUUUUAUCAUCUCAGGUACUUGAUGAAUGGAUGCUUUGCUUUGGAGUUGGGAAGUAGCAGCACGUCGUACACUUCUCUUUAAUCAAAAUUAUCUAGUGUGAUGCUGUAAUAUUUAAGUCCUCUAUGAGAGUUUGUUUGUUUGUUGCUUAAGUAUGGCUAAGAUUUGUUAAACCUUGCCUUUAAUCGUUUCGAUACCAUGUUAGGAUCUUUCAUUUAUGCUAGUGUGCUUUAUCUACUUGCAUAUCUUAUUAUUUGUUGCUCCCACGAUGUUCCUGUUUUAGGGGAGAUGCUAUCAAAAUCUCUCCCUUUUGUCCGGUGUGGCUUAGUAGCAUCCUAAGGUAGUGUUUGGUUUUCCUAGGAUGUUACAGUUGGUAAUCAGAGCUUUGGUUAAUUUAA